GCGUUGUAUUGAGAAGGGUGCGUGCUGUUCAGCAUAGAUUUUAUUUGUGUGUAGUCAGUGCGUAUUCCUACCCGUCGUGGGCUUUGCGCGGCCGAUUUUGGGCUGCGUAGGGCUGAGGUAUCCCCAAAAACCUGGUUUUUGGGUUGAUGACGAUGGGGCGCCAACGCGAUACGACCCGUCUUGAAACACGGACCAAGGAGUCCAGCAUAGCUGCGAGUCAAAGGGUGGCAAAACCUGAGGGCGCAGUGAAAGCAAUUGUUGCAAAACGUUGCAGUUUGAGGCGGCCUAGGAUCGUUGAUCCUAGGUCUGACCUGGAGCAGUUAUGCUGGUACCCGAAAGAUGGUGAACUAUGCUUGAGUAGGGUGAAGCCAGAGGAAACUCUGGUGGAAGCUCGUAGCGUUGCUGACGUGCAAAUCGCUCGUCUAACUCGGGUAUAGGGGCGGAAGACUAAUCGAACCAUCUAGUAGCUGGUUUCCUCCGAAGUUUCUCUCAGGAUAGCAGGCCGACGACGUUGUUGUUGUGUGUGGUAGAGCGAAUGAUUAGCGUAUUUUGGGGACAAUUAGUCUUCAGACGAUUCUCAAACUUUAAAUACGCACGGAUGUUGCUGCUUUUUUUGAGCGGCAUCGUCAAAAACGUCGGCCUUGUGGGCCACUUUUGGUAAGCAGAACUGGCGAUACGGGAUGAACCGUAAAUAUGGUUAAGGCGCCAAAUUGCCCGCUUAUAGAUCCCAAAAAAGGUGUUGAUUCAUCGAGACAGCAGGACGGUGGCCAUGGAAGUUGGAAUCCGCUAAGGAGUGUGUAACAACUCACCUGCCGAAUGAAUUAGCCCUGAAAAUGGAUGGCGCUGAAGCGGGUAGCCGACACCAUGUCGUUUGACCAAAGUGGAUAUCAAAUGAGUAGGAGGACGUGGCGGUUGUAUCGAAGCGUAGGUGCAAACCUGCGUGGAACGGCCGCUAGUGCAGAUCUUGGUGGUAGUAGCAAAUAUUCAAACGUGAACCUUGAAGGACGAAGUGGGGAAGGGUUCCACGCGAACAUUGAUUGAGCGUGGGUAAGUCGUUCCUAAGCCGAGUGGCAAUAGCUAAUUAUUGAGCGAAAGGGAAGUAGGUUGAUAUUCCUACACACGGAUGUGGAUGCGGUGACGCACUACUGCGACGAUGACGUCGGCGAUGGAGCUAGGCAGAGUUUUCUUUUCUGUUUAACCGAACCUAGCACGCUGUGUGGAAUCCGCUUGUCGGGAGAAACACGCGUGUUUGGGCAGAGCGCUAGGAUUUUUCUAGCGUCUAGCUCUCCAUCGACGGCCCUUGAAAAAUCGUCUGCUGGCCAAACACUUUUUUUUAGAGUUGUUUGGUGUGAAAAUUCCACGCCGUAACGUACCGAUAACCGAGCAGGUUUUCCAAGA
rnacentral:rRNA from 1 species